AUUGAAAUCACACACAUGGUCUCAGGACUUAAUGAAGCUCAGGUUCUUUGUGUCUCAUCGCAGAAGGAAUUCAGCUAGAGGCAAAGUGAAAGUGGCCCAGUUUGGAAGAUGAAUUAUAUAUCCACCCUUCUUAGAAGGUCAAGGAGGAGGAAAUGCAGAUGUGAAAUGCUGCAAAGAGGACAAGCAAGCUGUGAACAAGAUAAUUCCAGCUGUCUCUGUGACCACAAAGGAACCAGCCCAGGAGAAAGCUUUCACUGAGGAUGGCAGAGCUGAGAGUGAUGAUGUCCUGAAAACCUCACAUACCAUCUGCCGUGGUUGCAUCUUAUAAGCGAGAAUGUUGGCUUCAGUCAGACUGAUUUCAAAUCUCAACUCUGCCUCUUUGAGCCUGAGUUUCCUUAUGGGGAACACCUCUAUUAAGCUGAGAUACAGAGAGACUGAAACACUGAUACUUCCACUUUAAGAGCCCAGAGACUUUCAGUCAAUACGAGUGCUGCCUCCCUGGAUAUACUGCAUCUCUGCUACCAUCCAGCCCCUGCUCAAGAAAUGCUAUAUCCGGUGCUUCGUUGGUGGCACAGUGGUUAAGAAUCCGCCUGCCAGUGCAGGGGACACCAGUUUGAGCCCUGGUCUGGGAAGAUCCCACAUGCCGUGGAGCAACUAGGCCCGUGCGCCACAAGUACUGAGCCUGUCCUUAGAGCCCGUGAGUCACAACUAUUGAGCCCACAUGCCGCAACUAACGAAACUCACGCGCCUGGAACCUGUGCUCUGCAACAAGAGAAGCCACGGCAAUGAGAAGCCCGCGCACCGCAACAAAGAGUAGCCCCCGCUCACCAAAACUAGAGAAAGCCUGCAGGCAGCAAUGAAGACCCAA